UACGGGGGGGGCAAGCGUUGUUCGGAAUUACUGGGCGUAAAGGGCUCGUAGGCGGCCAACUAAGUCAGACGUGAAAUCCCUCGGCUUAACCGGGGAACUGCGUCUGAUACUGGAUGGCUUGAGUUCGGGAGAGGGAUGCAGAAUUCCAGGUGUAGCGGUGAAAUGCGUAGAUAUCUGGAGGAAUACCGGUGGCGAAGGCGGCAUCCUGGACCGACAUUGACGCUGAGGAGCGAAAGCUAGGGGAGCAAACGGG
rnacentral:rRNA from 1 species